AUCCUGUAGUCGAAAAUGUUGUCUCUCUUGAGUGGAUCCUGAGUACGACGGAGCACGUGAAAUUCCGUCGGAAUCUGGGAGGACCAUCUCCUAAGGCUAAAUACUCUCUAGUGACCGAUAGUGAACCAGUACCGUGAGGGAAAGGUGAAAAGCACCCCGGAAGGGGAGUGAAAUAGAACCUGAAACCGUGUGCUUACAAGUAGUCAGAGCCCGUUAAUGGGUGAUGGCGUGCCUUUUGUAGAAUGAACCGGCGAGUUACGAUUUGAUGCAAGGUUAAGCAGUAAAUGUGGAGCCGUAGCGAAAGCGAGUCUGAAUAGGGCGUUUAGUAUUUGGUCGUAGACCCGAAACCAGGUGAUCUACCCUUGGUCAGGUUGAAGUUCAGGUAACACUGAAUGGAGGACCGAACCGACUUACGUUGAAAAGUGAGCGGAUGAACUGAGGGUAGCGGAGAAAUUCCAAUCGAACCUGGAGAUAGCUGGUUCUCUCCGAAAUAGCUUUAGGGCUAGCCUCAAGUGAUGAUUAUUGGAGGUAGAGCACUGUUUGGACGAGGGGCCCCUCUCGGGUUACCGAAUUCAGACAAACUCCGAAUGCCAAUUAAUUUAACUUGGGAGUCAGAACAUGGGUGAUAAGGUCCGUGUUCGAAAGGGAAACAGCCCAGACCACCAGCUAAGGUCCCAAAAUAUAUGUUAAGUGGAAAAGGAUGUGGCGUUGCCCAGACAACUAGGAUGUUGGCUUAGAAGCAGCCAUCAUUUAAAGAGUGCGUAAUAGCUCACUAGUCGAGUGACACUGCGCCGAAAAUGUACCGGGGCUAAACAUAUUACCGAAGCUGUGGAUUGUCCUUUGGACAAUGGUAGGAGAGCGUUCUAAGGGCGUUGAAGCAUGAUCGUAAGGACAUGUGGAGCGCUUAGAAGUGAGAAUGCCGGUGUGAGUAGCGAAAGACGGGUGAGAAUCCCGUCCACCGAUUGACUAAGGUUUCCAGAGGAAGGCUCGUCCGCUCUGGGUUAGUCGGGUCCUAAGCUGAGGCCGACAGGCGUAGGCGAUGGAUAACAGGUUGAUAUUCCUGUACCACCUAUAAUCGUUUUAAUCGAUGGGGGGACGCAGUAGGAUAGGCGAAGCGUGCGAUUGGAUUGCACGUCUAAGCAGUAAGGCUGAGUAUUAGGCAAAUCCGGUACUCAUUAAGGCUGAGCUGUGAUGGGGAGAAGACAUUGUGUCUUCGAGUCGUUGAUUUCACACUGCCGAGAAAAGCCUCUAGAUAGAAAAUAGGUGCCCGUACCGCAAACCGACACAGGUAGUCAAGAUGAGAAUUCUAAGGUGAGCGAGCGAACUCUCGUUAAGGAACUCGGCAAAAUGACCCCGUAACUUCGGGAGAAGGGGUGCUCUUUAGGGUUAACGCCCAGAAGAGCCGCAGUGAAUAGGCCCAAGCGACUGUUUAUCAAAAACACAGGUCUCUGCUAAACCGUAAGGUGAUGUAUAGGGGCUGACGCCUGCCCGGUGCUGGAAGGUUAAGAGGAGUGGUUAGCUUCUGCGAAGCUACGAAUCGAAGCCCCAGUAAACGGCGGCCGUAACUAUAACGGUCCUAAGGUAGCGAAAUUCCUUGUCGGGUAAGUUCCGACCCGCACGAAAGGCGUAACGAUUUGGGCACUGUCUCAACGAGAGACUCGGUGAAAUCAUAGUACCUGUGAAGAUGCAGGUUACCCGCGACAGGACGGAAAGACCCCGUGGAGCUUUACUGUAGCCUGAUAUUGAAAUUCGGCACAGCUUGUACAGGAUAGGUAGGAGCCUUUGAAACGUGAGCGCUAGCUUACGUGGAGGCGCUGGUGGGAUACUACCCUAGCUGUGUUGGCUUUCUAACCCGCACCACUUAUCGUGGUGGGAGACAGUGUCAGGCGGGCAGUUUGACUGGGGCGGUCGCCUCCUAAAAGGUAACGGAGGCGCUCAAAGGUUCCCUCAGAAUGGUUGGAAAUCAUUCAUAGAGUGUAAAGGCAUAAGGGAGCUUGACUGCGAGACCUACAAGUCGAGCAGGGUCGAAAGACGGACUUAGUGAUCCGGUGGUUCCGCAUGGAAGGGCCAUCGCUCAACGGAUAAAAGCUACCCCGGGGAUAACAGGCUUAUCUCCCCCAAGAGUUCACAUCGACGGGGAGGUUUGGCACCUCGAUGUCGGCUCAUCGCAUCCUGGGGCUGUAGUCGGUCCCAAGGGUUGGGCUGUUCGCCCAUUAAAGCGGUACGCGAGCUGGGUUCAGAACGUCGUGAGACAGUUCGGUCCCUAUCCGUCGUGGGCGUAGGAAAUUUGAGAGGAGCUGUCCUUAGUACGAGAGGACCGGGAUGGACAUACCUCUGGUGUACCAGUUGUCGUGCCAACGGCAUAGCUGGGUAGCUAUGUGUGGACGGGAUAAGUGCUGAAAGCAUCUAAGCAUGAAGCCCCCCUCAAGAUGAGAUUUCCCAACUUCGGUUAUAAGAUCCCUCAAAGAUGAUGAGGUUAAUAGGUUCGAGGUGGAAGCAUGGUGACAUGUGGAGCUGACGAAUACUAA
rnacentral:rRNA from 1 species